rnacentral:rRNA from 1 species
UGGGGAAUAUUGGACAAUGGGCGAAAGCCUGAUCCAGCCAUGCCGCGUGUGUGAAGAAGGUCUUCGGAUUGUAAAGCACUUUACGUUGGGAGGAAGGGCAGUAAGCGAAUACCUUGCUGUUUUGACGUUACCGACAGAAUAAGCACCGGCUAACUCUGUGCCAGCAGCCGCGGUAAUACAGAGGGUGCAAGCGUUAAUCGGAAUUACUGGGCGUAAAGCGCGCGUAGGUGGUUCGUUAAGUUGAAUGUGAAAGCCCCGGGCUCAACCUGGGAAAUGCAUCCAAAACUGGCGAGCUAGAGUAGGGCAGAGGGUGGUGGAAUUUCCUGUGUAGCGGUGAAAUGCGUAGAUAUAGGAAGGAACACCAGUGGCGAAGGCGACCACCUGGGCUCAUACUGACACUGAGGUGCGAAAGCGUGGGGAGCAAACAGG